GUAGUUUUCCUUUGAAAAUAUAUAACACCCUAAUGGCAUUACACCCAUUUUUUCAGCGUCGGGGGUCUUGAGAAUAUCUUGCCAGAACUGCCAUGAGUCAUUCAGCCAUUUUUUAGUAAUUUCAUUAGUGGGUCCCUUAAAACUUGUCCCUGGUCUGAAGAUACCAGCGGCAAUGUCACUGGUAGUGUCUGCUGAGUACUGUUCGGCUAUGACUGUGAUGUUUGCGUUUCUGAGUUGGUCUUGAAAGAGUUUGGCCACUGUCGUGCCGAUCACUCCUGCGCCGAUUACUGCUAUAUUUGGAUUGUCCCGCAUUUUGGAUAUUGGUGUUUCC